rnacentral:tRNA from 1 species
AUCGCCCAUCGCCCGCCCCCUUUGGGGUGAUAAGUCGUAACACAGUAGGGACACUUCUGGUGGUCCCUA